GUUUGGAAAACUCUGCCCCUACCGUGAAAGCUCUCUUUCCCUCCCCCAUGAAGAGGCUCCCUUAUCUCUCACUCUACAUGUUUGGAAAACUCUGCCCCUACCGCAAAAUCUCUCUCUCUUUCCCUCCCCCACAAAGAGGCUCCCUUAUCUCUCACUUUACAUACCGGCCCUAGCCCUCCCGCCGCCCAGCUUCCCGCCCAGCAGUUCAAACUGACCAACAGUUGCCCACCACCUCGGCUUUUGGCUUCCCCACCCCCCAGCCCUUCAGCCCCCUAUAAAACAACCCUGCCCCUCUGAGCGGCGCGGCCAUUUUUCCUUUUCGUCCCGGCUGGUCCGCCCGGAGGCUCUUUCCUCUCAAUAAAGCCUGAACUUAAGGAAUUUCCUCUAGCCUGCGGUCCGGUUUCUUUCCCAAUGAGCUCAGUCUUCCCGCAGAGGAGACGAAGUUUCACCAUGUUGCCCAGGAUGGUCUUGAACUCCACCUGCCUUGGCCUCCCAGAGUGCUGGGAUCACAGGCUGAAGUCCAAUGAUGCGAUCUUGGCUCACUGCAACCACUGCCUCCCAGGUUCAAGCAAUUCUCUUGCCUCAGCCUCCUGAGCAGCAGGGAUUACAGAAUCUCACCCUGUCACCAGCCUGGAGUGCAAUGGCACAAUCUCAGCUCACUACAACCUCUACCUCCCAGGUUCAAGCGAUUGUUCUGCCUCAGCCUCCCUAGUAGCUGGGAUUACAGGUGCCUGCCACCACGCCCAGCUAUUUUUUGUAUCUUUAGUAUAGACAGGGUUUCACCAUGUUGGUCAGGCUGAUCUUGAACUACUGACCUCAUGAUCCACUCGCCUCGGUCUUCCAAAGUGCUGGGAUUACAGGCGAGAGCCAUUGCGUCUGGCCCGUUGUCUUAUAUUUUCUACCUGAAGAAUCUUGCAAAUCUACCUCAGGGGUGAAAUCUUUCUCCACUGGUCCAGAUCAGGGUUUGGGGUGUGGGGAGCAGUUAGUGAGAAGAUCUGAUUAGAUAAUCAUAGGCCAUGAGCUUACAAGGGCAAAACCUUUGCCGUGAUCAUCUCUGUAUCCCUAGAAUAUAACGGAGUCUCAUUAAAUAUUUGACCUGAUAGUAGGUGAGAGGACACUUGGAACUGUGUCAGAGACCGCACCUGAGUAUUUACAUCCAGCCCCGGACUGGACAUUAGAGACACACUCCCUAAUAAAUGUAAACUGAAGAUAAUCUUUUGUUUUACUCACAUAGCAUUUUUUAAAAGAUGUGACUUUGGGCUUUAUAUUCUAAAAUUGGUAACUGGCUGAGGAUGGUGGCUCACACCUAUAAAUCCCAACACUUUGGGAGGCUGAGGCAGGAGGAUUGCUUGAGCCCAGGGGUUCAAGACCAGCCUAGGCAGCAUAGUGAGACUCCCCAUCUAUUCAAAAAAUUAAAAUUAAAAAAUGAGCCAAAUGUGGUGGCACAUGCCUGUACUGCCAGCUACUUGAAAGGCUGAGAUGGGAGGAUCACUGGAACCCAGGAAUCUGAAGCUGCAGUGAACUAUGAUAGUGCCACUGCACUCCAGCCUGGGAGACAGAACGAGACCCUAUCUCAAAAAAAUAUAAAAUAAAUAGGAAGUGGCCCGGCUUGGUGGCUCACGCCUGUAAUCUUAGCACUUUGGAAGUCUAAGGCGGCCUGACCUCACUUGAGGUCAGGGGUUCAAGACCAGCCUGGCCAAUAUGGUGAAACCCCGUCUCUACUAAAACUAUAAAAAUUAGCUUGGCAUGAUUGCAUGCUCCUGUAGUCCCAGCUACUCAGGAGGCUGAGGUAGAAUUGCUUGAACCCAGCAGGUGGAGAUCCCAGUGAGCCAAGAUCAUGCCAUUGCACUCCAGCCUGGGCAGUAGAGUAAGACUCCAUCUCAAAAACAAAAACAAAAACAAAAAACACACAGGAAGCUAUCACCUAA